CGCAACUACAUCGGUAAAUCUGCUAAUCCAAUGAGCUAGCGAUAUACAAAUAACCUUGGAAAAGGCACAUUUUUCGCAGUUUUAUUCGUAGUCAUAUGACGCGACUUUGCAUUAAACUGUGUCUGAAAGACAGGCAGCCAGAUUGCUGAUCCAUCGUGGAUGUCUAGUGACGUAUCCGCUUCGGAGGUUGCCAGCUUCAUAGGCAAGACAUUUGGCGCAGGCGCGGCACUGACGGCUGCUGUCUACUUAGUCCGCAAAGUCUGCCUGAUAAUGGCGUGGAAAUCAGGGGGAGCUAGCCACGCAGAGCUCGUCAACAACCUCCGCAAAAAUGGCAUCAUCAAAUCGGACAAGGUCUACGAAGUGAUGCUGGCCACAGACCGGACCCAUUUCUCUCGUUGUAACCCUUACAUGGACUCCCCGCAGUCCAUAGGCUUCCAAGCAACCAUCAGCGCCCCACACAUGCACGCCUACGCCCUGGAGCUUCUACACGACCAGCUGUACGAGGGCGCCAAAGCCUUGGACGUGGGCUCCGGCAGUGGAAUCCUCUCGGUUUGCUUCGCACGAAUGGUAGGUCCUAAAGGCAAAGUCAUUGGCAUCGAUCACAUCAAGGAGCUCGUGGACGAAUCUAUAAACAACGUGAAGAAAGACGACCCCAGUUUGAUCACGUCGGGGCGAAUCACACUAACAGUUGGAGACGGACGACUGGGCUACACGGAGGAGGCGCCUUACGACGCCAUCCAUGUUGGCGCCGCAGCAUCAACGGUCCCGCAAGCUCUCCUGGACCAGCUGAAGCCCGGCGGUCGCCUCAUCCUUCCCGUGGGCCCGGCCGGGGGCAACCAGAUGUUGGAGCAGUACGACAAGCUGGAGGACGGCAGCACCAAAAUGAAGCCCUUGAUGGGGGUGAUAUAUGUGCCUUUAACGGACCGAGACAAGCAGUGGUCCAGGUGGAAGUGACUUCCUUCCUACUCCCCCUUCCCCUCCUUUCCUCCUGUACCCUUCUCUCCUUCUCACAGCGGAAAAGGGAUGAACUCUGAACAGCAGGACAGUCCAUAAACGCACCAUUUAAAUUUCAAAUCCUGGAAGAAACUCUGACUGGGGGAAGGGUUCAAGCAGUCCUUACACUAAAUUCAUUCAUAAUCAUCACGGACUCCUUUUCCCCAUUUCUCCUUUUUUUCCCGCCCCACAUGCAAUACAAGUAUUACAAAUAUCGGAGAGCGCUGGACUUUGUUGACAGAAGCUUGUAAGAUGAUUGACAUAGUUCAACCUCCCUGCUAAUAAUAUAUACAUAUAAGCUUUAGCCGCCCGCCCGAUGAUAGCAGUAUUAGCAACACAAUGGCUGACACAAACCCUCACAUCCUGUUUGCUGAGCAUCGUUUAAACAUCAACCACACGUGCAAAGAUGCUACUUUCCUCGCACGUCGUCACACGCGAAUAACUUUUGCCAAAAUAAAUAUCAAGCAAAUGAAUGUCUGGUGUCUUCGGGGAGGGGAAGAAAUGAAAUCUUGAAGCACAUUUUAUUUUCUGUGAUAUAAAUAUGGCUGUCAACUUCUAGAAUGGCAUAUGACAAUAAAGAGUUGCUUAUGUUUUA